UAAAAAAUCGUUAAAUGUUUGUUUACUACCAAAUUGGGAAGGAAAAUAGAUUGAAAAGGUGUCCCAUCUUCCCCCACCCUACUAUAUAAAAUAAUAGCAAACUUGUAUUUGUUAGAAACAAUUUUUCAAGAGAAACCUAAUUUUUGUUAAGGUUGUUUAAAGGCCGUUGCUAUUCGUUUAUACAGUCUGUUAAUUGUACUAUAACAGCAAACUUUAAAACCUUUUAAAACUUAAUUUUUUUUUUUAAAUUCAUUUUUGCGCUUAUUUUUAAUUUUUUCGACACAAUAAGACCAAAUACCAAAAGCGCGUGAAUGCCAGAGUGUAAACGUACACUGAGACCAAUGGUAUAACGUACUUGUAUAAUAGGCUUCAUACUGAAUACACAAUGUAUCAUACCGUAGCUUAAAUAUUCGUUAUCAAAACACGAUCGCAACAUUGCCACGGGCA